rnacentral:rRNA from 1 species
GAUGAGUAGGGCGGGACACGUGGUAUCCUGUCUGAAUAUGGGGGGACCAUCCUCCAAGGCUAAAUACUCCUGACUGACCGAUAGUGAACCAGUACCGUGAGGGAAAGGCGAAAAGAACCCCGGCGAGGGGAGUGAAAAAGAACCUGAAACCGUGUACGUACAAGCAGUGGGAGCACCCUUUGGGGUGUGACUGCGUACCUUUUGUAUAAUGGGUCAGCGACUUAUAUUCUGUAGCAAGGUUAACCGUAUAGGGGAGCCGUAGGGAAACCGAGUCUUAACCGGGCGUUAAGUUGCAGGGUAUAGACCCGAAACCCGGUGAUCUAGCCAUGGGCAGGUUGAAGGUUGGGUAACACUAACUGGAGGACCGAACCGACUAAUGUUGAAAAAUUAGCGGAUGACCUGUGGCUGGGGGUGAAAGGCCAAUCAAACCGGGAGA